CCGCCCCCCCACAUUACACUAUUAAAAGGAGAUGACAGAUCACUUGCUCACGACAGCCUGCUUCACAUCCACAACUCCUUCAUCUACACCAACCUUCAUCUACAAUGAGGUCUGUAGUGGCACUCAUGUUCAUCUGCAUGCUUUUACCCAAAGCUGCUGUUGGCCAACUGAGCUGCUAUAUCUGUGAUCCCACUAACUGCAAAACAUUUACUAAGCAGACUUGUCCUGCUGGAAUGGAUUCCUGCCUCAGUGCAACAGCCUCUGUCGGCACAAGUAAGUUUACUUUUAAGACUUGUGUGCCAAAGCUGGUGUGUGACACGAGUCAAUUACCAGGAGCUACUCUUGCUAAUGUGAAGUGUUGUCAGACGAACCUGUGUAACGGUGCUGAGAUCUUCACACUGAGUUUCCUCCUCAUGUUUGUCCCUCUGAUCUCCUCCCUGCUCUUCUUCUGAGCUCUGAUGAAAAAGCCGACAUAAACUUCACUGUAAUGUCAUGUAUAACAUACGUUCUGUCAAUAAACUUUGUUGGCUCAUAA